AGUGGCGAACGGGUGAGUAACACAUCGGAACGUGCCCAAUCGUGGGGGAUAACGUAGCGAAAGCUACGCUAAUACCGCAUACGAUCUACGGAUGAAAGCGGGGGAUCGCAAGACCUCGCGCGAAUGGAGCGGCCGAUGGCAGAUUAGGUAGUUGGUGGGGUAAAGGCUCACCAAGCCGACGAUCUGUAGCUGGUCUGAGAGGACGACCAGCCACACUGGGACUGAGACACGGCCCAGACUCCUACGGGAGGCAGCAGUGGGGAAUUUUGGACAAUGGGCGCAAGCCUGAUCCAGCAAUGCCGCGUGCAGGAUGAAGGCCUUCGGGUUGUAAACUGCUUUUGUACGGAACGAAACGGUGAGCUCUAAUACAGUUUGCUAAUGACGGUACCGUAAGAAUAAGCACCGGCUAACUACGUGCCAGCAGCCGCGGUAAUACGUAGGGUGCAAGCGAUAAUCGGAAUUACUGGGCGUAAAGCGUGCGCAGGCGGUUAUGUAAGACAGAUGUGAAAUCCCCGGGCUUAACCUGGGAACUGCAUUUGUGACUGCAUAGCUAGAGUACGGUAGAGGGGGAUGGAAUUCCGCGUGUAGCAGUGAAAUGCGUAGAUAUGCGGAGGAACACCGAUGGCGAAGGCAAUCCCCUGGACCUGUACUGACGCUCAUGCACGAAAGCGUGGGGAGCAAAACAGGAUUAGAUACCCUG
rnacentral:rRNA from 1 species